UAGGGAAUCUUCGGCAAUGGGGGCAACCCUGACUGAGCAACGCCGCGUGAGUGAAGAAGGUUUUCGGAUCGUAAAGCUCUGUUGUAAGAGAAGAACGUGUGUGAGAGUGGAAAGUUCACACAGUGACGGUAACUUACCAGAAAGGGACGGCUAACUACGUGCCAGCAGCCGCGGUAAUACGUAGGUCCCGAGCGUUGUCCGGAUUUAUUGGGCGUAAAGCGAGCGCAGGCGGGUUAAUAAGUCUGAAGUUAAAGGCAGUGGCUUAACCAUUGUUCGCUUUGGAAACUGUUAAACUUGAGUGCAGAAGGGGAGAGUGGAAUUCCAUGUGUAGCGGUGAAAUGCGUAGAUAUAUGGAGGAACACCGGUGGCGAAAGCGGCUCUCUGGUCUGUAACUGACGCUGAGGCUCGAAAGCGUGGGGAGCAAACAGG
rnacentral:rRNA from 1 species